AUUGAACGCUGGCGGCAGGCCUAACACAUGCAAGUCGAGCGAGCGGCGGACGGGUGAGUAAUGUAUGGGGACUGCCCGAUAGAGGGGGAUAACUACUGGAAACGGUGGCCAAUAACGCAUACUAUCGGAUAACCCAUAGGGGCUUAGCUAGUAGGUGGGGUAAAGGCUCAUCUGGGCGACGAGCUCUAGCUGGUCUGAGCGGCUGAUCGGCCAAACUGGGACUAGGACACGGCCCAGACUCCGACGGAGGCGGCAGUGGGGAAUAUUGCACAAUGGGCGCAAGCCUGAUGCAGCCAUGCCGCGUGUAUGAAGAAGGCCUUGGGGUUGUAAAGUACUUUCAGCGGGGAGGCGUUACCCGCAGAAGAAGCACCGGCUAACGACGUGCCAGCAGCCGCGGUAAUUC
rnacentral:rRNA from 1 species